UGUUCCUUCUGGUACAUUUUGAUAAAAUUGGAACGAUAUAGAGAAGAUAAUAAGCAAUAUAGAUCCUGUACAAAGAUCACACUCAACUCUAAAAGAAAGGCACAAAUUUU
rnacentral:snRNA from 1 species